rnacentral:tRNA from 1 species
GCCCAUUUGGCUCAGUGGAUAGAGUGUCAGCCUGCAACUGAAGAGUCCCAGGUUCGAUUCCGGUCAAGGGCA